rfam:Thalassobius maritimus strain DSM 28223 genome assembly, contig: Ga0070000_101
UGUCUGUCACAACGGCUUCCUGGCGUGGCAGAUGAAACCUAAUGGAGCA